ensembl:lncRNA
GCACAAUCAAAAGUCCACGACAGUAAUCAAGUCACCAGGCCUGUUCCUGGAGAUGAUUCCUCCUGAAGACUUUAGCUCCAACCAUAAUGCUGCCCACCUGACCAUCUAAUCUCUGCCUAAAGAAGUUCUCGAUCAACUAAAACAGGUGUGUUAGAUUUUGGUUGGCGAUGAAACCUGCAGGACGACGGAUCUCAGGGAAGCGUGCUGGUCGAAGAGGUAAAGCUGGACCGGAUCCGACUCCUCCUAUAACCCAGCAUUCUGUGUGCUGUGUGUUUAUUGCUGUGCGUUUGACCGUACAAAUAAACCGACAGCAAAUGCUUUUUGUGAUCAAAGUCUUCCUGCUUGGACCCCCUGUUUGAAAAUUCUGAGUUCUCACAGCUUUCAAGUGUGUUUGUGUGUGUGUAUAGUAUAUGUGUGUAUGUGUAUGUACAGUUUGCGUAUGUACAGUGUGUGUUUGUAUUGUGUGUAUGUACAGUGUGUGUGUACAGUGUGUGUGUGUGCAGUGUGUGUGUACAGUGUGUGUGUGUGCAGUGUGUGUGUAUCUACAGUGUGUGUAUGUACAGUAUGUAUGUCUGUGUACAGUAUGUGUGUGAAUGUACAGUGUGUGUGAAUGUACAGUGAGUGUAAGUACAUACAGUGAGUGUGUGAAUGUACAGUGUGUGUGAACGUACAGUGUGUGUGAACGUACAGUGUGUGUGUGUGUACAGUGUGUGUGUGUGUACAGUAGUGUGUGUGUGUACAGUGUGUGUGUGGGUGCACUGCAGAGAGCGCCUCUAAUGCCGCAAACAAGCACUGCUAAUCUGCCUUCUCA